rnacentral:lncRNA from 1 species
AAUUAACGAUUACACAAUUCGUCACCCAUGAAAUGAUUAACUUAACUCCUCCGCUACUUAAUCAGAUAAAGAGUCCCUCUCGGAAGUUCAGUCUGUAAAGAACAUGUGAGACACAGCUUUAUCUCCUUGUAUAAUUGUAGAGCACAACUCACUGUGAGUAAAAUAUUCAAUGUAUUCUAAUUUUAAACAAAAUAAAAGACGUACAGAGUGUUGUGGAACAUUGCUUGCAACAAUAAAGAUAAGGCGAAUACGAACUUUUUUUGUGAAGUUGGAAGCAUCGCACAAACUUUUCACCCGAGUUAUCAAUGAUUUUAUGACAAAUGUAGAUAGAUACUUAAGCUGAAAUAUGUAAAGUUACAAGCUUUUAAGAUUUAUAAUUAUUUACGAGGAAGAAGAAGUAUGACAGAUAGACAGUGAAAGUGGAAAAGAUCUUGUUUAUGGACUGCAGUGUUUAAAAGACACCCCUAGUUCAUUUCCUCAAAAGGAAACCAACUAAUCGUAUUUUAAUGAUGCUUAUGGAGUAUAAAUUUCUUCAGAAAAGGAAGUAUCACGCAAAAUUUCAUUAGAAUAAUUUCAGUAAUUUUUCAAUUUAAAACUGUUAUUUUUAUAAUUUUAUUAUUAAUAAAACAAUAUGAAAUAAUAUAAUAUAAAUUAGUAUAAUGAAAUAAUUCAACAAUGUCACAAAUCGUUCUGAAAUUUUAUAGAUAUGGAAUCAUCGGGUGGCUCGUAAUAAAAAUCUUUGCUAAUUUGCUACUUACGCGUAUAACCUGACCAGAAUAUCCUAUAAAAUACUCUACAGCUACAUCAUUGGGUAAAUUUUAAGUGCAGUUAAAUUUCACUUGAUCCUCAGAUACGAUUCUGUUCUCUGCUAUCUCUGAGGAUAAUUAUGCCUUUGCUUCUCUACUUCCACCUGUAAAUCUAACUUAUUGCGUUUUUUUGGACGGUAAUGUUAGUGUCUGACGUCAGAGAGAAUGAAUCUGGACAUAUUUUUUUAGUUUUGAACGUAUUCGUCUUUUUGCAAUGUAAUGCUGCUAUUGGUGUCGAAUUUGAAGUUCAUCCCGAAACUGAUAGAAAAGUUUUUGAACUGCUACAUAAUGUCACGGACUUUGAUGGCAGUGGAGGUUUGCCGUACAAAUACCGAGAAAAAUUUCUCACUCACGGACUAAUCCAGGAUGUUAUAUUUCUUGCACCCAAAAAUAUUUUGAAGGUUAAAUGGGGCUGGAGGAACAUUUUCCUCGGAACAAAAAUGCUGGCAGAAAAUUUGAGGGAACCACCGCGACUAAGUUGGCCUACGGAGAGGGGAGUUUUGUACACACUCAUAAUGACUGGUCCUGAUUUCCCAACGAGAGAAAACCCUGCUCACAGAGAAUGGAUUUUUACUGGCGAGUGGGAAACAUUCCAGAGAAUGACGUACAUUAUGGAGAUGUAA